ensembl:lncRNA
GCAUAAGCUCUCUGAGCUACUUGGAGAAAGACACAAAGCUGCAUUUUUGUCUUAUAAUUCACACAGUGGAUAAGAGAAUUUCAGAUUUUUCUUGCAUGUAACCAUUCCCCUUAUUCUCAAAAUGAAUCUACUUUGGAACCUCUUCACAAUGAUAUUUCCCCAGCAUGGGUGAGAUGAUGUUUCUUAGGAGCCAGUGGCAUUAAUGCAGUAAAAUAAUGAAGAGUUUAAGUGGAAAUUCCAUCUCAGAAGUCACCAAGGAUGUCAAGGUCCUAUUUCAUCUGAAUGAGCAUGGAUAUUUGAUGUUGAGAGUUGAAGUGUCAAGAGAAGAGAUCAUCUGAGAAAAUGUUUGCAAAGAAAAAGGAAACCAAGGCAAAACUUCAUGACUGGGAGUGGAAAGAUGACUUAGCAAAAUAUCCUGCUAUUUAACACUGGUAGGUCUGCUGUGAGCCUGGUUGUUUGGAGCUGGGGGGUUGGAGAAGAGAUCAAUGCCUUUGAGUGGUGGCAGCUGGGAAGAAUUAGAACUCAGCGUACUACUUGAAGAAUGAAUGGAAGACCACAAAUAAUUGUUGGUUAUGCUUUAGUAUAAUUUUACUUUAAAUGCUUGGAAACUGAACAGUAUGGCCCUGUUUGAGAGUACCCUGGCUCUGCGGUCCUUCAGGGAAUUGCCGUGAUGAAACUGAAGAAGGGUACUGAGAUGCCCCAACCCUUCUCCCCCUGCCCCCUAUUUUCCAGAAAAGG